UGAGGCAGAUCACAUAGAGGUGAUGAGUGUGGUCUCUGACACCUAAAAUACUUGGACAGAAACCACAGCUGCCACUUCCUAGCUGUGGACCUUGAACAAGUUUCUUAAUCAUUCUGUUCAUUUUAUCUGAAAAAAAAUGGAUAAGAUAAUAAUACCUAGCUCAUGGGCUUAUAGUGAUGAUUAAGUUUUUGAUAAUCUGUGAAGUUACUAAGAAUAAUAAGCGGUCAAUAAUGUUAACUAUUACAACUUUUCUUUCACUUUUAUUUAUUGCACCAGAAUAAUGAAUGAAUAAAUUUUAAGCCCUUCAAAAUAUAUUUGCCUUAAUCUUACCUUUCCAUGCUUAUUCUUAAUAUUUUUACAUAAUUGUAGUGAAACAUAGCCUCAGUUUAGUAUAGUACCUGCUUUUUAUUUGUAACCUUAUCAGAAACAUUUUCUAGCUUCUGCAUAGCUUUUAUAAUUAUUCAUUCUUAGUGUAACUAGAACUCUAGCACAAAAAACUUAUCCUAUUAAAAAUAUUAUGCAGAUGCCUUUUCCAACCAAUAUCAAGUAAUUGCUAAAUGAAGAAAUACAUAAUUAUUUAUCAGGCAGAACACAUUGCUUAGACCCACUGAGGAAAAGCCUGGAAAUACUCAAAACAAAUCCUGCCCUUAGGGAUUUCACAGUCAAUUUGAAGAAACUCCAUUUGUAAAUAAAAGAAAUGACUAACCCAUGAUAAUGGUACUAAAGAAAUGUUAUUGGAAUCUGGUGGAGGAAGAGAUUGCUGUUAGCAUUGGAAAAGGCUAAAAUGAGUUUGUUCUUGAAAGAUGUGAGUUGUAGAGGCCCACACAAUACCACUGCCAUAUUCUAUGGAGCAAAGGAAAUGUGUACAUCUCAACUGAGAUGCUCUAAGUAGAUAUAUUUUUUUAAAAAAACACCCGGGAGUUCUUUGAUGGCCUAGCGGGUUGAGGCUCCUGCAUUCUCACCGCUGUGGCUCUGGUUGCUGCUGUGCGGUGUAGGUUCAAUCCCUGGCCCAGGAAUUCCCACAUACUGCCUGUGUGGCAAAAAAAAAACCAAGAGAGAACCUGAAAAAAACGUUGCAACUCAUUAAAAAAACAAACAAACAAACAAAACAAAACAAACAAACAAAAAAAACACCCAAGUUUCAACAACUUUUAGUAUGAAAAAAAGAGGUUUAUAAACCUCUAUAGAGAUCGACGCCAGUGUGGUGUUGCACAGCUCUUAGGUCAUUUUCAGUAGAUAACAGUAGUCAUAGCAAAGACUGCAAAGGUUAGACAUUCCCACACUACCUUUUUACCCAUUUAUAAUGCAGGUAAGUCUCAGACCAAAUUCUGCCUACAGACAUUCAUUCACAAUUUUUUUAAGCACUAUGGAAUCCAUCUCUGUCCAUCAUUCCCAUAUUAGCACCUUUAAAGCAGACAGGAGAACAUUCCAGAUGCAAGAUUCAAUCACCAUUAGCAAAACAGAAAUCUUCCUAAUGAAUGGGUGGCCACAGCAACUUUCAAGGAUCUGUCCAUGAGAAUUAUUGCUAAGAAGGCUGCCUUCACUAGAUUCUUCUCUCCUGUUUAUGUAAGAGUAGGAAAUAUUUCUCCAAUGUUUUAGCCAAUCCACAUAUUUUGAAUACUUUUCACCAAGGAGAUAAUAUUUAUAAUAUACAAGUCACACACUUCACCUGUGAAAACCUAUUCCUAAUGCUCUCUAAGCUAACUCAUAAACCCUCAGAUGGUGGUCAAGAUACAGACAACAGAAGCACUUAUCGAAGCCCCUUGUGAAGUGUAGCCUUUUUCACAUAACUCAGGCUAAGUCUGAGAAGAUGUCUCAACAUUGCGGAGGCAAGGGAUUCCCUUCUCUCCCUCGUUUGGAAAACAAGGAAAAUAAUCUGCACUACUUUUAGUGCAAAUUAUAUUAUUAAUAUUACAUUUAGAGCCAUAUCAUACUAUGCUUCUCAUAGAAACGUACAGUAAACGUGUCUUCAUGCAUUUGAUAUUCAACAAAUAUAAAGGUAAUAACUGAAUGAAGUUAAAGGUAAAAGUUCUUUAAUUGGUGUGGCAUUCUGUCCUAUGAAGAUUUUCCACAUUGAGAUAGAAUUAUCUAGGAAGAGGAAACAAAUUCAUUUUAGAAUUUCUAGGCUUAUAAUCUCUUGAUCUUUAUUUCCUUCCUGCCCUUUCCAGUUCAGAAGAUCACUUUCCUAACCAGAGAAGCUAAGGUCAAAAUAGCAUUUGAGUACUUCUCUUUCAAAAAAAGCAUCAAUAACAAUUUCAAGCAUUUCUUCCCUAUAUUAAUACUUAAAUAGUUAUGAGCUGGCUUCCCACCAUUACAAAUUUUGCUAGUUUAAACUUUACUAUGUCUCAGCAUUGUAUUGGCUAUUCUAAGCCUUCUGUCCUUCUCUGCAAUCUUUAGGAUCAGUUUGUCAAUACCUACAAAGUAGCUUGCUUGGCCUUGGUUGCAUUUAAUGUAUAGAUCAAGCUGGGAACACUGACAUCUUAACAAUACUGAAUCUUCUAGUCUAUGAGCAUGGAUGAUCUCUCCGUUUAUUUAGGGCUCCUUUGAUUUCUUUUAUCAGAGUUAUGCAUGUUUGCACAUGUAAUCUAGUACGUAUUCAUUAAGAUUUGUUUUUAAAUAUUUCAUUUUUUGGUGUGACCGUAAAUAGUAUUUAUUUUUUUAUUGAAGUGUAGUUGAUUUACAAUGUUUCCAGCAUAUAGCGAAGUGAUUGUUAUAUGUAUAGCAUAUAUAUGUAUUAUUUUUCAGAUUCUUUCCAUUAUAGAUUAUUAUAAGACAUUGAAUAUAGUUCCCUGUACUGUGCAGUAGUAGGACCUUGUUAUUUAUCUGUUUUACAUAUAGUUGUUUGUAUCUGCUAAUCCCAAAUCCUAAUUUAUCUCUCCCCACCCUUUCCUCUUUGGUAGUCAUAAGUUUGUUUUCUAUGUCUGUGAGUCUGUUUAUGUUCUGUAAAUAAGUUCUUUUCUAUCAUUUUUUUUAGAUUCCACAUAUAAGUGAUACCACAUGGUCUUUGUCUGACUUACGUCACUUAGUAUGAUAAUGUCUAGGUUCAUCCAUGUUGCUGCAAAUGGCAUUAUUUCAUUUUUUAUGGCUGAGUAAUAUUCCACUGUGUAUAUAAGCACUGUCUCUCCUUUAUCCAUUCAUCUGUUGAUGGACACUUAGGUUGCUUCCAUGUCUUGGCUAUUUAAAUGGAAUGGAUUAGCAAGGAGAUCCUGCUGUGUAGCACUGGGAACUAUGCCUUGUCACUUAUGAUGGAGCAUGAUAAUGUGAGAAAAAAGAAUGUAUACAUGUAUGUGUGACGGGGGUCUCCAUGCUGUACAGUAGAAAAUUGACAGGACACUGUAAACCAGCUAUGAUGAAAAAAAUAAAAAUCAUUAUAU
rnacentral:lncRNA from 1 species